AGAGUUUGAUCCUGGCUCAGGAUGAACGCUAGCGCAGGCCUAACACAUGCAAGUCGAACGGUAACAGGGAAAAGCUUGCUUUUCCGCUGACGAGUGGCGCACGGGUGCGUAACGCGUAUGCAAUCUGCCUUGUACUGGGGGAUAGCCUUUAGAAAUGAAGAUUAACACCCCAUAGUAUCUGAAUACUGCAUGGUAAUCAGAUUAAAGGUUACGGUACAAGAUGAGCAUGCGUCCUAUUAGCUAGAUGGUGUGGUAACGGCAUACCAUGGCAACGAUAGGUAGGGGCCCUGAGAGGGGGAUCCCCCACACUGGUACUGAGACACGGACCAGACUCCUACGGGAGGCAGCAGUGAGGAAUAUUGGACAAUGGGCGGAAGCCUGAUCCAGCCAUGCCGCGUGCAGGAAGACUGCCCUAUGGGUUGUAAACUGCUUUUGUACGGGAAGAAACACUCCUACGUGUAGGAGCUUGACGGUACCGUAAGAAUAAGCAUCGGCUAACUCCGUGCCAGCAGCCGCGGUAAUACGGAGGAUGCAAGCGUUAUCCGGAAUCAUUGGGUUUAAAGGGUCCGUAGGUGGGCCGGUCAGUCAGAGGUGAAAUCCUGCAGCUUAACUGUAGGACUGCCUUUGAUACUGCUGGUCUUGAGUCAUUAUGAAGUAGUUAGAAUAUGUAGUGUAGCGGUGAAAUGCAUAGAUAUUACAUAGAAUACCAAUUGCGAAGGCAGAUUACUAAUAAUGUACUGACACUGAUGGACGAAAGCGUGGGGAGCGAACGGGAUUAGAUACCCCGGUAGUCCACGCCGUAAACGAUGGAUACUAGCUGUUCGGCUUCGGCUGAGUGGCUAAGCGAAAGUGAUAAGUAUCCCACCUGGGGAGUACGUUCGCAAGAAUGAAACUCAAAGGAAUUGACGGGGGCCCGCACAAGCGGU
rnacentral:rRNA from 1 species